rfam:Schistosoma haematobium scaffold256_3, whole genome shotgun sequence.
AUCCAGUUGACGAGUCCUAAAUAGGACAAAACGUACAUCCUGGAU